rnacentral:rRNA from 1 species
CAUUUCUAUAUCUUAAACCCUUUCUCACUAUUAAGUAAUUUUAUAUUAAUAUAAAAGUCUUCAUGCUAAAACUAGUAACAAGAAAUUGAAUUUCUCCUAAAUAUAAGCAUAAGCCAAAAUAGACAAACCAUCGGCAAUUAACGUUUCUUAACCCACUAUAGCAACCCCCCAAGAAAACACUACAACUACUCACGUUAACCUAACACAAGUAUAUUACAGGAAAGAUUAAAAGAAAGGGAAGGAACUCGGCAAACUUUAACCCCGCCUGUUUACCAAAAACAUCGCCUCUUGAUGAAAUAUAAGAGGUCCAGCCUGCCCAGUGACCACUUAAACGGCCGCGGUAUCCUAACCGUGCAAAGGUAGCAUAAUCAUUUGUUCUUUAAAUAAGGACUCGUAUCAACGGCAUCACGAGGGUUAUACUGUCUCCCCCCUCUAAUCAGUGAAACUGACCUCCCCGUGAAGAGGCGGGGAUUUUUAUACAAGACGAGAAGACCCCAUGGAGCUUUAAACCCAAUAAUAUUCUCUAACUAUGUUCUUCCUCAAAGUUAUAAAGUUAUUAUCUAUUGGUUUUAGGUUGGGGUGACCGCGGAGUAAAACAAAACCUCCUUGACGAACAGGUCUAAUCCUAAUCCAAGAGCCACUGCUCUAAGAAUCAAAAAUUUGACGUAAUAUGAUCCGGCAACCGAUCAACGAANNAAGUUACCCUGGGGAUAACAGCGCAAUCCAUUUCGAGAGCUCUUAUCGACAAAUGGGUUUACGACCUCGAUGUUGGA